GAUGAGGUACAGUAGAGUAUUAAGAACACACUAAUAUACCAUAUGUCAGUGAGUAGAGUGCUAAGGUAGUAAAAAAAAAACGCUAAGCUAAUCGACUAUAUGGUUAGUCUUAGUAAUAUAGUGUUGAUAUGCGAGGAAUAUCUUUAAACUGUACAAUUUUAUGAAAGUAGGAUCAGGUUGGUCAAAUAUUGCAAGACAAGAUAUUAAAUAAGUUAGUCGAGGGACCAGUAGAGGUAGGCUAAACUAGAGUGAUGAUCUAACCUCUGUGUUAAAGGAACACUAUGGUCACCAGAGCCAUUACAGCUUAAUAUAUUGGUUCUGGUGUCUAUAGACUGUCC